ensembl:lncRNA
ACAUUAUGAGACCAUACAGUGCUUAAAAUGUUGGUGAAAGUCACAGGCAGAGAGCUCAUGCUUAGAAUAGGUGAGAUUUCUUAUCAAUGAAUAUUAUCUUUGCUGGCUAACUGAAAAACAAAAAAUUAAAAUUAAAAACAAAAAAAUGCCACCACGCAGGAAAUGCUGAAAGCAAAGUAAUUUUUUUUAAUCAUUUUUUCCAGAUGAGAGCUGGUGGUCAAUGUUUGGCUGUGUUCAUACCCUAUGGCCGCAUGAAUAUAAUCUCUGUGCAUAAAAAGCAAUUCUCAGUUUUACAAAAUCUGUGAUCCUUCAUAUAUAUAUAAUGUUCUAUUUAUGUAAUUUUCUAUGCAAGUACACUUUAUUGCUGUAUUCAGAGGUUUCAUGCAAUAAAAGUCUCAUGCAAUAUACUUGGUCGGCUACAUCAAAAUUUAUUUAACUUGGUACACCAUUAUAUAUAUAUACCUCUUAUACAUUAUAUAUACUGUAUUUUUUUAUUAAAAACUUUACAAUCAAUAGUAACAUUAAACUUUUUUAUUAUUUUUUUUUUUUUUAUGUUUCCUCUAAUGUUUAGAAUUUAGAUUUAUCUUCGAGUUUUAUUAUGCCUUCCCCCGCCGUUGUGAUUCGCUGUGAUGACCGGAGGAAGUAGACGCUACUGAGGCUUUCUGGGAUACUGACGUACUCAGCAGCAUUCUUAGUGUGACGGAGAACAAUAUAGAGCAGAUUUUAAGGGAUUUUGUCAUGAACAAGAUUAAAGAAAUCAAAGAUGAACCUCAAGAAAACAGUGUGAAAGAUGAGCCACUGUCUGAUCUUGUAACAGAGACCAGAGAAGAUGGACUUAAGGAAGAAAAAAUGAACACAUCAACAGAUAAUGUCAUGCAUACUGACCUCCAAGACCACCACGGUGAAGAGGAGACCAGCACUAAACACAGAAAAAGUAAAAAGCACAAAAAACAAAAAAGUAAAAAGAAGAGAAAGAAACGCAAAGAAGGAAAAGACAGCAGCUCAGACACGGAGUCUGACAAAGAGAUUCAAGAAAGUGGGAAGAAAAAGAAGAGAAAGAAAAAGAAAAAAAGCAAAGAUGCAGACAAAGUGAAGAGGUCUGGCUCACGGUCCGAAAGCUCUUCAGCAUCUGGUUCUGAAUCGGAGUCUGAAUUGAAACCUUCUAAUGAAAAUACAAAGUCCUCUUCAGCAGAUAAGACUUCAAAGUCUGAGCUCAGAAACACAUCUGGUGUUGGUAAACCUCAGGAGUUGCCUGACAUUAUUCCCAAGAUGGAGAAUUCGGGCCACAAAAGCACAGAGAAGUUAAGGACCAAGGAAAAGAAAAUAAGUUCUAGCAGGACAUCUAUAAGCAAAGAGAGCUCUAGAAGAAGACAAACCAGAUCAAAAUCACCCAGACUGAAGUCCGAACACAGGUCAAGAUCCCCAAAACAAAAACGGCAAUCAAAGUCAACCUCUAGAAAUAGCUCCAGCAAGAGAUCUCAUUCUGUCAGAAGAGGCAAACAUUCAAGAUCCAGGUCACGCUCCAGGCAAACUAGAUCAAGGUCUGUUGUCAUCUCAAGGAAGAACAGAAGGUCCACAUCAAAAUCUAGGUCUCGCUCACCACGGCAUAGAUGCCAUUCAAGGAGUAAGUCUCAAUCCAGAACAAAUCCUUCAAAAUCAAGGUCCAUUUCGAAAUCAAGGUCUGAUCUAAAACUGGAAACCGAAUUGAUUGAGAAAGAUAUAGAUCCAGCAGUGGACAAUAGUAAAAGUUGUGAAACGCAAACAAAUGCGUCUCAAAACACAACUGAGAAUGAACAAGAUCCAACAGUGACUGUGAAAUCUGACACCACGUUGUCUGAAACUGCAUCCAUCAUCUCAAAUUCUGGUUUCAAUGCAGUUGGUGUCAGAGGAUCUUGGCGACCAGUUCCCUUCUUGGCAGAGCCAUCUGAGACCACGUCUUCACAAAAGUGCAUUACACCUGAGGUGACUUUGGAAGUGACCAAUGUGUCUGAAGAACCUUCAACAUUCUCAACUGUUAAGCCAAAAGAUUCAGAGGAUGCUGCCAGUUCUGAGAAGAAAGAAACCAAUGAGAAUCCAACAACCAGUGAAGAAACCUCAGUCGAGAAGAACUCAAUGUCACCAUCCCGAUCUCCCAGUCAAAAAAUAUCCUCAAGAUCCAAAGUAGCUGCACGAUCCAGAUCAAAGUCAUCAUCAAAAAAAAGAAAGUCCAGGUCAUCUUCACGCAAGUCUCGAUCACCCUCUGAAAGAAAAACGCACAAGUCUAGAACAAGCAGCAAACGCUCAAAAUCGAGGUCGCCUAAGAAAAUGUUGAGAUCAAGAAAGAGGUCACGCUCAAGUUCGAGGAGGAGAUCCCGGUCUGGUUCACGCCGAAGAAGAGGUUUGGGAAGCCAAACACUAAAUCAGCGGGACAGAUGGAAACGAGAACCCAGUCGCUCUCCGGUCCUCAUUCUCCGUAAAAAAAGCUCGGCGUCCAGAACUCGACGCAGCACCAGCAAGACGCCUCCACGUCUUACAGAACUUGGUAUGAAGAAACUAUGA